UGCCAAUCAAAUGUAAUUAUUUCACAAAAAAAGGUUUUCCUUGAAUUUUUUGAAAUUUCUUUAGACAUUGCUGAUCAUUGAUCGGUUGUUAUUUUGAGCGAUGAUAUUGGUAAUGCUGCUUUAUCAGUUUUCAAUGACAUUAGAGCAGAUUCCACUCUAUUAAUGUUUAAGAGUAAGUUUGAAAGUAGUGUUAUACAUUGCAAUGAGCCACUCAAGUUUCUUGACACAUUAUAUAAACAAGAUAAACACUUAGAAAAAAAUUCUCUUUUUGUAACUUCUGAAACAUGCAACAUGGGCCCUCCUAGAUAUGAAACUAAUGAGGGAAUUUCAAAGAUAGUUUCAUUUCAUUGAAGAGGUAUCAAGUAAUGUUACAUUGCAUGAUGGCUUUAACACUUGCAAACAAAACAUUUUGUUACUAGCAAGAGAUUCAAUGUUCAAAAAUACUUUGUCAAAAGACUAAUAUAAUGGAGGUAUAUAUAUGUCUACUACCCUAAGUGGGGAGAAUGAAUAAAUAAGAACUUUAUAACUUAAAUAAGAAAUUUUACAACAUAAUUGUCAAUCUGCAUAAGUACUAAGCUGCUGCAACUUGACUAUGUGCCAAUCUGCAAAAGUGCGAAGUUUCUCUUUCUCAUCUUAUUUCAUUUAUUAGUUCCUUAUGUAAUAUACCCUUUUAAUCCAAAAGAAGGUUUUUUUAUAAUCUACCUAUAAAGGUUUAUAAGUAUAUACAAGUUGUUACCUGAUUUAUUUUUAUUUUUAUUUAGAAGAUGCAACUUUUCUUGCAUUUAAGGCGCUCCCUUUUCUUAUGAUAGCACCUCCACAGAAGAGCAAGAAGAGUCCAAGAAUUUGGGUAUAUUUUAUAGAGAAAUGGAUGUACACCUCAGUCUUGAAAGCUCCCUUGAGUUAUUGAAGAGGGAGAAAGUUUUUCUACUGAUUUUAUUCAAGUGUUUCAGCACUCUAUUUAUAAUUCAAAUUAUAACUCUAAUUAUAAGUCGAUAAUACAGCUAUACGGUUGAAAGCCAUACCGAGUAUUAGAUUUGCUUUUGAGUUGCAGCUAGUCUCUUAUUAUGUAUUUAAUGUCAAUUUUCCUCAUGAACUUAUUUGUGUAUAUAGAUUUAUGGGAAAUUUGCUUGGAAUAAACAACAAAAGAAU
rnacentral:lncRNA from 1 species